rnacentral:ncRNA from 1 species
AGUGCAUUUGUGUGAACAUUGGGCACUUAUUUGGUGCAAUUGACCUUGAAUAACCCUUUUAACGCUCCGUGAAAGCGAUCACAAAGAAUCUCUGCAAUACUUGUUUGC